CAUGAAGGACAUGCACAAAGUGCGACUAUAUGAUGUGGUUUUGCUUGUCCUCAAGCAAAUAAAAAACAAUUCACUGGUUCCCAAGUGACAAUAACAUGCAGUGACUAUGUACAAAGGUGUAUGCAACAAAAGUUACUGAUUGCAUGAUAAGAGAAUGAAGCAAAAUGCCCUCAUCACUUGUCUUUUACAAGGCAUGCAGUUAUCCAAAGAGAAGAA
rnacentral:lncRNA from 1 species